AGCCCGCUUCUCAGGGCAUCCAGCAGGAAGAGAGAACUUCCAGACCUGAAUCCUUAGUAAUCAUAGAAGUGAAGAGUGUGCCCUUGCCCUGCUUAUCUCUGAGUGAGAAAUGAAAUGCAACAAAUACUUGACUACCGCUAAGGGGGGUCCGGGCUCCCAAAGGUCGAGAUGUAAACUGUGGACCUAUAUUCCCCAGUGACCUGGGUCUCCAGGGCCAGAGAGGCUCCUGGUAUUUCCUGAACACAUGAUACUGCUUCCUACCUCCAGCCCUCUGUACUUGUGUUACUCUUCCUGGAAUGCCCCCUCCCUUCGACUGAGCUGAAUAUCCAUCCUGAACACCUGCAGG